UACGUGAGGGUGCGAGCGUUGUCCGGAAUUAUUGGGCGUAAAGAGCUCGUAGGCGGCUUGUCGCGUCGACUGUGAAAACCUGCGGCUCAACCGUACGGUCUGCAGUCGAUACGGGCAGGCUAGAGUUCGGUAGGGGAGACUGGAAUUCCUGGUGUAGCGGUGAAAUGCGCAGAUAUCAGGAGGAACACCAAUAGCGAAGGCAGCUCGCUGGGACGGUACUGACGCUGAGGCGCGAAAGCGUGGGGAGCGAACAGG
rnacentral:rRNA from 1 species